rnacentral:rRNA from 1 species
UACGGGGGGGGCAAGCGUUGUUCGGAAUUACUGGGCGUAAAGGGUGUCUAGGCGGUCAGGUAAGUGAGAUGUGAAAUGCCCCGGCUUACCCGGGGACCUGCAUCUCAUACUGCCUGGCUUGAGUAUGGGAGAGGAUGAGGGAAUUCCUGGUGUAGCGGUGAAAUGCGUAGAUAUCAGGAGGAACACCGGUGGCGAAAGCGCUCAUCUGGCCCAAUACUGACGCUGAAGCACGAAAGCUAGGGGAGCAAACGGG